rnacentral:rRNA from 1 species
AAAUAAGCAUAUCAAUAAGCGGGAGGAAWAGAAACCAACAGGGAUUGCUCUAGUAACGGCGAGUGAAGCAGCAAUAGCUCAAAUUUGAAAUCUGGCGUCUUCGGCGUCCGAGUUGUAAUUUGUAGAGGAUGCUUCUGGGCAGCCACCGACCUAAGUUCCUUGGAACAGGACGUCAUAGAGGGUGAGAAUCCCGUAUGCGGUCGGAAAGGCACCCUACACGUAGCUCCUUCGACGAGUCGAGUUGUUUGGGAAUGCAGCUCUAAAUGGGAGGUAAAUUUCUUCUAAAGCUAAAUAUUGGCCAGAGACCGAUAGCGCACAAGUAGAGUGAUCGAAAGAUGAAAAGCACUUUGGAAAGAGAGUUAAAAAGCACGUGAAAUUGUUGAAAGGGAAGGGAUUGCAACCAGACUUGCUCGCGGUGUUCCGCCGGUCUUCUGACCGGUCUACUCGCCGCGUUGCAGGCCAGCAUCGUCUGGUGCCGCUGGAUAAGACUGGAGGAAUGUAGCUCCCUCGGGAGUGUUAUAGCCUCUAGUGAUGCAGCGAGCGCCGGGCGAGGUCCGCGCUUCGGCUAGGAUGCUGGCGUAAUGGUCGUAAUCCGCCCGUCUUGAAACACGGACCAAGGAGUCUAACAUCUAUGCGAGUGUUCGGGUGUCAAACCCCUACGCGUAAUGAAAGUGAACGGAGGUGAGAACCGCAAGGUGCAUCAUCGACCGAUCCUGAUGUCUUCGGAUGGAUUUGAGUAUGAGCAUAGCUGUUGGGACCCGAAAGAUGGUGAACUAUGCCUGAAUAGGGUGAAGCCAGAGGAAACUCUGGUGGAGGCUCGCAGCGGUUCUGACGUGCAAAUCGAUCGUCAAAUUUGGGUAUAGGGGCGAAAGACUAAUCGAACCAUCUAGURGCCUGGUUCCUGCCGAUUU